GACAUACUAAGAACUUUCCACGAGAUGGAUUGGUGCCUUCGGGAACUUAGAUACAGGUGCUGCAUGGCUGUCGUCAGCUCGUGUCGUGAGAUGUUGGGUUAAGUCCCGNAACGAGCGCAACCCUUUUCCUUAUUUGCCAGCGGGUCAUGCCGGGAACUUUAAGGAUACUGCCAGUGACAAACUGGAGGAAGGCGGGGACGACGUCAAGUCAUCAUGGCCCUUACGGCCAGGGCUACACACGUGCUACAAUGGUCGGUACAAAGGGUUGCUACCUCGCGAGAGGAUGCUAAUCUCAAAAAGCCGAUCGUAGUCCGGAUCGCAGUCUGCAACUCGACUGCGUGAAGUCGGAAUCGCUAGUAAUCGCGGAUCAGAAUGCCGCGGUGAAUACGUUCCCGGGCCUUGUACACACCGCCCGUCACACCAUGGGAGUUUGUUGCACCAGAAGUAGGUAGUCUAACCGCAAGGAGGACGCUUACCACGGUGUGGCCGAUGACUGGGGUGAAGUCGUAACAAGGUAGGCGUAGAUGA
rnacentral:rRNA from 1 species